GACGGGUGGGACUUCUGGGUUCCUGGAAGAGGCAAGGAGGUCAAAGGAAGGAGAAUGGAGUUGCCGUGCUUGGAGAGAAGAGAACCGGGCUGCCAUGUGAGAUCUCAAAAUGAUGUAACUCUGAGGGACCCACUCCUCGUCACCUACUUUUGCCAGUGAAGUUCCUCCUAAAGAUGCCACAGCCUUCACAAGAGCCCAACAAGCUAAAGACUAAAGCAAGAGCUGAUGGGAGACGUUCCAGAUUUUUGCCACAUGCCUAAGCAACUUUCUGGGAAGGGAUGGGCAUGUUGAACAGGAACAAACAGGGGACAGUGAACUGGUCCCAGGGCAGUAAGUUCAGGACACCAGCGCUGAACUUACAGCAGGAGGAAACCACUAACUAAUGCCAAAGAACAUAUUCAGAUAAACUCCUGGCAUUUGUUUAAAAUCUUGGAAACCAAGCUAAAUUGCCUUCCCAAUGGUGUCAGUAAGCGGGACCAUAGGCGGGAUGGGGUAUGCCAAUGCCUUCCUUGUGGCUUGUCUUUGGCUGCUCUAAGAGGAGCAGCCGUGUACACAAGCUGGAAAUCAGCAGCUGUGGAAUGCCAGGGCCACCAACUCCUCAUCUAGUGCUCAGUACCUGCCCAAGGUUUAUCACACACGGUGCUUUGUGUGAGUUGCACGGUGAGCCCUCAGUUAAGAUGAGAACAAAUAUGCCAAGUGUGAUGAUUCAUGCUUGUAAUCUCAGAAUACAAGAGGCCAAGACAGGAGGAUUGCCAAGAGCUGAUUCUAGCCAGGGCUACACAGUAAAAUCCUGUCAAAAAAAACACCAAACAAAACCAAAAAACAGAAACCAAGAAGAUGAAAACAAGAUGGGAGGAAUUUGGUUUUGCUUUGUCAAGGGACAAAAUCGCAAUCUUAACUGGCUUUAUUUUCAAUUUCAGAAUCUGGCAAUAUUUUUCAUUGCAUGAGAGUAAGUAUUCCAAUAAGCCAGGCUGAGGGGGUUGGUUUCGUAGACACAAAACUGCUGAAGAAAACAAAAACAACCCCCAAAGUAUAGGUCAUUUCCAAGUUGUGUUUUCUGUACAGCGGGGACAGACAGAGAGAUAGAAAAGCAAUUGGUUGACAAGAGGCUCUUCCGACCGGUGGACGGAUUAAAGCAGGAGCUGCUUAAUUUCACAGUACUUAUAACUGGCUCGUACACAAUGUUUGAGCGUGGUGUGUCCAAUCUUGAUUUCUCAGGUCAGAUAAAAAGCUUAGUUUCAAUUUCAUCACUGAAUGAUUCCCUUUUGAUAUUUAGCCUGCUCUGUUUAGCCUGCAGUUUAAAGCAACGGCUUCUUAUGAUGUUCAUUAAACGGCUUUGCAAUAAUCUACAGUUAUAAUAAAUCCCAGGGCUUGAGUACUGUAGUAAUGAGAUGAAUUCCACAGGGCAAGCCUGUUGAUAUUCUGUCUAAGCUCCACCCCCACAGUUGCCUGGCAACAGCCAGGUAUGCCUGACUAUAAAAGGGGCUGCUUGCCCCCUUCUCAUUCUCUUGCUCUUUCUUGAUCUUCCUCUCUCUUCUCUGCUUCAUGCCCUCUUUGUCCCUGUCCCUUCUCUCCCCAUUCCCGCCCCCCUCCACAUGUUCAUGCCCAGCCUUUCCUCUCUUCUUCUACUCCUCUCCUCUCAUUAAACCUUUCCACAUGGAACCCUGUUUGUUGGCUUGGUGUGUUCUGUCCAGGAAGUGCAUUAACAAACAAACGAACAAAGUUCAGCAGGUGUACUGUACUGUCAGUAAGUAAUCUUAACACUAAGGCUAACGCUGGAGGUCUAUGGAUUCAAAGCCAACCUGGGCUACAUAGCAUGAUUUAUUUCAAAUACAUGCACGUGUACAAGUGCAUGUGUCACAUGGGGCGGCAGUUCUAAACAAUGUCUUUCGAAACUAUUCUUUCAGAGUGGAUUAAAGUUGGAAGACACUGCUUUCAGUUCUAUGGCCCUUCCUUAUGUAGGACAGGCCUUUAGGGGUGGGACUGAGAAACAAGUGACUGAAACAGAUCAUCAUCCUGAAAGUCACCAGCAGUUCUAGGGGACCCAGAAGUGAGGCUAACCCCUCUCUGGCUGUGGUCUAGAAAGCUUCCUGAGGAGGGGAGACACUUCUGACCUAGGCUGCAACUUUCACAGAUGGAAAUGCUCUCUGAAAAGAGGGACCAGCUUGACAAAGGUCAAAGAUAGGACAAAGGGGGUUUAGAAAUACAGAGAAAGGAAGCAGGAGGUGCUGCUGACUUGGAAAUAUCAACUCAUUCUUGGUAAGGGACCUCCCACGGGAAUGCAUGGGUUCUGGUCCUAACUUCUAUUUAGGUACCCAGUCUUUCUGUGUCCUCUCCUUGGGCCUCUGGGCCUGUUUCCUCAUCAGUAAAUAAAGGAUUUCUCUGAAGAUACUGCCACGACUCGAACAUCCCCAAAUCAUGUUAAUGAAAGGAGGCCUAUGCCAGGAUGUUGCAUGUACCCGUAUGAUCCCCAAACCACCUUGAUACUCUGUAGCAUACCCAUAACAAGAAGGCCCUUAGAAGAUCUGAUCGCUUGGCUAGGAUAUCCCAGCCUCCCAGACUGUUGCAAAUAAACCUGUAAAUUAUGCAGUAAUUUUUAUAACCGAUCUAAGAAUGAGAAGCAAGGGGCUGGAGAGAUGGCUCAGUGGUUAAGAGCACUGACUGCUCUUCCAGAGGUCCUGAGUUCAAAUCCCAGCAACCACAUGGUGGCUCACAACCAUCUGUAAUGAGAUCUGAUGCCCUCUUCUGGUGUGUCUGAACAACUACAGUGUACUUAUAUAUAAUAAAUAAAUAAAUCUUUAAAAAAAAAAAAGAAUGAGAAGCAAGGCCUCGGUUUUCCUGUGCUGUUUGCUAAGACUGUAUCUUUUCUGAUUGGCUUAGGGCUGGGGAUUGAGCUCAGGGCUUAGUACAUGCCCAACCAGACCUCUACCACUGAGCUAUGGCCUCAGCCAGAGCCGAUCUUAAGAAUGGUUUUAAAAUGAUUGAAAGUGGGCUGGAGAGAUGGCUCAGCGGUUAAGAGCACCCGACUGCUCUUCCAGAGGUCAUGAGUUCAAUUCCCAGCAACCACAUGGUGGCUCACAACCAUCUGUAAAGAGAUUCAAUUCCCUCUUCUGGUGUAUCUGAAGACAGCUACAGUGUACUUAUAUAUAAUAAAUAAAUAAAUCUUUAAAAAAAAUAUCUGAAAGCCACUGGUCUCAGUAAAGGAUUUCUCUCCGAGUGUGACUUCAUGCUGCAAGCAUGAGAAGCUCUGGUUUCCUCUUCAAAGCAUGGCUCAUUUAGGAUCUCCCAGGUUGCUGUCAAUUGUCUGCGCUGUAUCCAGCAUCCAGUGGGAAAGUCAUUUUCAUCUCUCGCCUUAGGAGACGGUGCCUAGCGUUGUCUGAAAGAGUCCUGGGAACCCGAACUUUCCAACUUUGCACGGGAGCAGCAGAGACUGCUCAUAAAUGCAUGUGAAUAAACAUUUGAUCGAUAAAUGCUCACUGGCAGCAUCAUGGCACCUGACUCCUCUUUGCCCAUGGCUGCCCGGCCUGUUCCAGGGUGUUUUUGUGAAGAUCAAGUAAGAACUCGAUCCUUUUACAAACUGUAAAUAUGGAGCAAGCUCGGUGGUUAAGUGGUGCUCGGGGAGCAGAAUGAGAGAACAGCAGUGCUGGGUGAACGUGGGGGUGUUGCAGGCGUAUAUCGUUCACAACGUACUUUAGUAAGGGUCAGCCUCUAGCCUGCCAUCUACCAGCAGCAGUGGAAGAGAAAGGUUAUCAGGAUACGGGGGAAGUUUAGAAAUAGUCCUUUGGGACGAUUCCAAUUUUCAUCGUGCUUAGCCCAGGCCACUAGCAAACACCAACAUGAAUCAGCCCCUCCAGUCCAGUCCGUGUGGCAGACACCACACAGGGAUCAGC